rnacentral:tRNA from 1 species
GGGCCCAUAGCUCAGCGGUAAGAGCGGCCGGCUCAUAACCGGUUGGUCCUGGGUUCGAAUCCCGGUGGGCCCA